UCCGUAGGUGGAUAAUUAAGUCAGGGGUGAAAGUCUGCAGCUCAACUGUAGAAUUGCCUUUGAUACUGGUUAUCUUGAAUUAUUAUGAAGUAGUUAGAAUAUGUAGUGUAGCGGUGAAAUGCAUAGAAAUUACAUAGAAUACCAAUUGCGAAGGCAGAUUACUAAUAAUAUAUUGACACUGAUGGACGAAAGCGUGGGGAGCGAACAGGAUUAGAUACCCUGGUAGUCC
rnacentral:rRNA from 1 species